GAACGCUGGGCGGCAUGCUUUACACAUGCAAGUCGAACGGCAGCACGGGAGCUUGCUCCUGGUGGCGAGUGGCGAACGGGUGAGUAAUACAUCGGAACGUACCCUGAAGUGGGGAUAACGUAGCGAAAGUUACGCUAAUACCGCAUAUUCUGUGAGCAGGAAAGAGGGGGAUCGCAAGACCUCUUGCUUUAGGAGCGGCCGAUGUCGGAUUAGCUAGUUGGUGAGGUAAAGGCUCACCAAGGCGACGAUCCGUAGCGGGUCUGAGAGGAUGAUCCGCCACACUGGGACUGAGACACGGCCCAGACUCCUACGGGAGGCAGCAGUGGGGAAUUUUGGACAAUGGGCGCAAGCCUGAUCCAGCCAUGCCGCGUGAGUGAAGAAGGCCUUCGGGUUGUAAAGCUCUUUCGGUGGGGAAGAAAUUGCACAGGAUAAUACCUUGUGUAGAUGACGGUACCCGCAUAAGAAGCACCGGCUAACUACGUG
rnacentral:rRNA from 1 species